AAAAAAGUGAGUGUCUUCUAACGCACAGCUAUUCUGUUUAAUUUACAGUUUGAUGGCUUCAGGAGGAACAGCAUAGGCGUGUAUAGAAAGAACUAUGUCUCCAUGGCUAUUGCUACUGCCUCUCUGGCUAUCCCAUGUGUCCUGUCGUGCUCAGACUCCAAUGCCAGCAAUGGGACGUGCACCACACCUGUUCCUCCACUCAGCCCUGUUGAAGUUGAGAAGGCCGCUGCCACCAUCCAGACCCAUUUCAGGAAGUUCCAACAGAAGAAACACAAGAAUGGCAAGUAGAUGGACCGGGAAGAGGGAUGCUGGUGCUGGUGCUGCAAGCCUGAGAGAAAACAGGAAGCAGGUGGAACGAUGUGGAUUCACCAAAGGACGGAUGAACUCUGUAAUGAUACACACAAAUGCAUAUACUCAUAUGCAAAUGUAUAUACAUUUAAACUGUAUGAUAAAUAAUACUUGAUCCUAGAUUAGUGACACAUUAUAAACACGAUACAGUAAUAGCUCACAUCUCAAAUAGCUUCUAAUAUUCUAUUUAAAAGUCUAAGUGAAAAAUACAUGUUAAAAUACUGUACAUCUGAAUGAGUGAUUAGUUUUGAUGUGCUGGGAGGGACUGGGUGCGUGAGUGGCUUUGAGUAUGAUGUAAUUUAUAUGUGUUUUGCGUAUAUAAAUAUGGGGGGAAACUAAUAAUUUGUCAACAUUGUGGAUCUUUCAAAAACAUGUAAAAAUGUUACCAACCUACAGUAUUUCAAUAAACUCCUCUGUAA